GGGAGAGCCUUUCUGUGCUGGCUGAGAUCUGGUGGCAUGUGCAUGCAUAUGUGUGCAAGUGUGUGUGUGUGUGUGUGCAAGUGUGUGUGCGCAUGUGCAUGUGUGUGGAAAGUAUGGUCUGGGUGGCUGUAAGACUGGCCCCUCUUGUCCCCUCUGCAGGCCCAGCCCAAUAGGAAGCACCUGAUCCACACUCUUUCUAGCCCCAGGGAUGCUCAGGAAAGCAGCCUUUCUUUAGGGCUGUCAUCUGUUCUGGGGAUCUGUUGCUGUUUCUUGGGCCCACAGAAUACACUCCACACCUCGGGACUCUAUAAUAUUGGACAAGGCUGGAAGGCCCAUUUGGCUCCUGCAGCCUCUUAUGCAGGAGGACCUCCUGAGGCUUCGAGCAGGAGCUGGUGCACACCUGGAGGAGAGUGCUGGUGAAUGGCAGUCAUCCUCUUCAGCGGUCCUCCCAGAGCUGUCCUCGGCAUGGCAGCCUCCACAGCCCCUGGGUGUCACCCCCGGUUUCGUGUCUGCCUCGGACUCCAGACCUGCCCCUCCCAGGCUGGCCCAGAUGGAUCCUCUGCAGUGACUAACCCAAACCAGC
rnacentral:lncRNA from 1 species